CAAGGGCUAGAGUGCUUGCUUUAGCAACAUUAGAGUGAUACAGAGAAAAUUAGUAUGGUCUCUGCACAAGGAUUAUCUACAAAUUUGUGAAUUGUUCUAUAUUUAG
ensembl:snRNA U6 U6 spliceosomal RNA